AGCUCCAUUAGCGUAUAUUAAAGUUGUUGCAGUUAAAAAGCUCGUAGUUGGAUUUCGGUGUGGGCCAGUCGGUCGGCCGCAAGGCUUGUUCACUGGCUGGUCUGCUCUCUCAAUCUCAAAGACUGCACGUGCUCUUCACUGUAGUGUGUGUCAGGAUUUGGGACGUUUACUUUGAAAAAAUUAGAGUGUUCAAAGCAGGCACGUUGUGGCCACUGAAUACAUGAGCAUGGAAUAAUAGAAUAGGACUCCGGUUCCUUUUGUUGGUUUGAGGGCCGAAGUAAUGAUUAAUAGGGAUAGUUGGGGGCAUUAGUAUUUAAUUGUCAGAGGUGGAAUUCUUUGAUUUGUUAAAGACUAACCUAUGCGAAAGCAUUUGCCAAGGAUGUUUUCAUUAAUCAAGAAC
rnacentral:rRNA from 1 species